rnacentral:tRNA from 1 species
UUUAAUAUGGCAGAUUAGUGCAAUGAAUUUAAGUUUCGUAUAUAAAAAUUAAAAUUUUUUAUUAAAA